rnacentral:rRNA from 1 species
GCAUAACGGAAUAACCCAGAACGCACCUGACCUCAACGGAUCUCAGAAGCAAGGCAGGGCCAGGGCGGUUAGCCUUAGAGGGGAGACUGCCUGGUUAUCCG